rnacentral:rRNA from 1 species
CCUACGGGUGGCAGCAGUGGGGAAUAUUGCACAAUGGGCGCAAGCCUGAUGCAGCCAUGCCGCGUGUGUGAAGAAGGCCUUCGGGUUGUAAAGCACUUUCAGCGGGGAGGAAGGCGUUAAGGUUAAUAACCUUGUCGAUUGACGUUACCCGCAGAAGAAGCACCGGCUAACUCCGUGCCAGCGGCCGCGGUAAUACGGAGGGUGCAAGCGUUAAUCGGAAUUACUGGGCGUAAAGCGCACGCAGGCGGUCUGUCAAGUCGGAUGUGAAAUCCCCGGGCUCAACCUGGGAACUGCAUUCGAAACUGGCAGGCUAGAGUCUUGUAGAGGGGGGUAGAAUUCCAGGUGUAGCGGUGAAAUGCGUAGAGAUCUGGAGGAAUACCGGUGGCGAAGGCGGCCCCCUGGACAAAGACUGACGCUCAGGUGCGAAAGCGUGGGGAGCAAACAGGAUUAGAUACCCGAGUAGUC